UCGACGUAUUUUCAAAGCGUGGCCUUCGGGCUGUGCUUUGUUAAUAGUGGUGUGUAGCUGUACUAUGCAGUGACAGGCCCACAACGUCGUAGAUCAUGCUGAUUUCCCACUAGUGGUUGAGGUUGGCACUCGGCAUAUUCCAUAGCCAAACUGGAGUCACUCAGACUGUGAAGGUGGCAAAACCAUGCCGUGGACACUC
rnacentral:snoRNA from 11 species